rnacentral:rRNA from 2 species
ACAUUUGAGUGAGUGGCGAACUGGUGAGUAACACGUGGGAAACCUGCCCAGAAGCGGGGGAUAACACCUGGAAACAGAUGCUAAUACCGCAUAACAACUUGGACCGCAUGGUCCGAGCUUGAAAGAUGGCUUCGGCUAUCACUUUUGGAUGGUCCCGCGGCGUAUUAGCUAGAUGGUGGGGUAACGGCUCACCAUGGCAAUGAUACGUAGCCGACCUGAGAGGGUAAUCGGCCACAUUGGGACUGAGACACGGCCCAAACUCCUACGGGAGGCAGCAGUAGGGAAUCUUCCACAAUGGACGAAAGUCUGAUGGAGCAACGCCGCGUGAGUGAAGAAGGGUUUCGGCUCGUAAAACUCUGUUGUUAAAGAAGAACAUAUCUGAGAGUAACUGUUCAGGUAUUGACGGUAUUUAACCAGAAAGCCACGGCUAACUACGUGCCAGCAGCCGCGGUAAUACGUAGGUGGCAAGCGUUGUCCGGAUUUAUUGGGCGUAAAGCGAGCGCAGGCGGUUUUUUAAGUCUGAUGUGAAAGCCUUCGGCUCAACCGAAGAAGUGCAUCGGAAACUGGGAAACUUGAGUGCAGAAGAGGACAGUGGAACUCCAUGUGUAGCGGUGAAAUGCGUAGAUAUAUGGAAGAACACCAGUGGCGAAGGCGGCUGUCUGGUCUGUAACUGACGCUGAGGCUCGAAAGUAUGGGUAGCAAACAGGAUUAGAUACCCUGGUAGUCCAUACCGUAAACGAUGAAUGCUAAGUGUUGGAGGGUUUCCGCCCUUCAGUGCUGCAGCUAACGCAUUAAGCAUUCCGCCUGGGGAGUACGGCCGCAAGGCUGAAACUCAAAGGAAUUGACGGGGGCCCGCACAAGCGGUGGAGCAUGUGGUUUAAUUCGAAGCUACGCGAAGAACCUUACCAGGUCUUGACAUACUAUGCAAAUCUAAGAGAUUAGACGUUCCCUUCGGGGACAUGGAUACAGGUGGUGCAUGGUUGUCGUCAGCUCGUGUCGUGAGAUGUUGGGUUAAGUCCCGCAACGAGCGCAACCCUUAUUAUCAGUUGCCAGCAUUAAGUUGGGCACUCUGGUGAGACUGCCGGUGACAAACCGGAGGAAGGUGGGGAUGACGUCAAAUCAUCAUGCCCCUUAUGACCUGGGCUACACACGUGCUACAAUGGAUGGUACAACGAGUUGCGAACUCGCGAGAGUAAGCUAAUCUCUUAAAGCCAUUCUCAGUUCGGAUUGUAGGCUGCAACUCGCCUACAUGAAGUCGGAAUCGCUAGUAAUCGCGGAUCAGCAUGCCGCGGUGAAUACGUUCCCGG